rnacentral:rRNA from 1 species
UACAGAGGUCCCAAGCGUUGUUCGGAUUCACUGGGCGUAAAGGGUGCGUAGGCGGUCGGGUAAGUCUGACGUGAAAUACUGGAGCUCAACUCCGGAACGGCGUCGGAAACUACUCGGCUAGAGGGUUGGAGGGGGGACUGGAAUUCUCGGUGUAGCAGUGAAAUGCGUAGAUAUCGAGAGGAACACCUGUGGCGAAGGCGAGUCCCUGGACAAUACCUGACGCUGAGGCACGAAAGCUAGGGGAGCAAACAGG